rnacentral:ncRNA from 1 species
UGAGACGAUCCGGGGAGCCUGUUUUUUACUCACAAUAUCAGGUCAGAAACCUUGAAAAUUUGAGGCCUGACCUCAUCUUAAUCUCCAGUAGCAUUUUGACCUGUAACGGGAGGAAUUAUGCGUCUGGAUCGUCUUAC